GAUGAACGCUAGCGGCAGGCUUAACACAUGCAAGUCGAGGGGUAUUUAUCUUCGGAUAGAGAGACCGGCGCACGGGUGCGUAACGCGUAUGCAAUCUACCUUUACUAGAGGGAUAGCCCAGAGAAAUUUGGAUUAAUACCUCAUAGUAUAAUGAGUUGGCAUCAACACAUUAUUAAAGUCACAACGGUAAAGAUGAGCAUGCGUCCCAUUAGCUAGUUGGUAAGGUAACGGCUUACCAAGGCUACGAUGGGUAGGGGUCCUGAGAGGGAGAUCCCCCACACUGGUACUGAGACACGGACCAGACUCCUACGGGAGGGCAGCAGUGAGGAAUAUUGGACAAUGGGCGCAAGCCUGAUCCAGCCAUGCCGCGUGCAGGAUGACGGUC
rnacentral:rRNA from 1 species